ensembl:rRNA 5S_rRNA 5S ribosomal RNA
GUCUACAGCCAUACCACCCUGAACCCAUGAGAUCUCAUCUGAUCUCAGAAGCUGAGCAGGGUCGGGCCUAGUUAGUACGUGGAUGGGAGAUCGCCUGGGAAUACCAGGUGCUGUAGGCU